rnacentral:lncRNA from 1 species
GUGUGUGUGUCUGAGGGUCUGUGUGCAUGUGCAUAUGUGUGCACAGGUGUGCAUUUGUGCAUGUGAGUGUGAGUGGCCCAAAUAGGCAUGCACUGUGUAUCCAGCACACACUGCUUCCCCUAUUCCCCUGCACCCUGCCCCACCUCCACCCCCCAGGUCUGCAUACCCAUUAUCCUUGUGCCCGUUUGCUCAUACACACUCAGCCUGAGACACUCUCCCACCUCCUGUCCCUUCUUUCUCCCUUCAGCCAUGAGGUCUCCACCAAAUAUCUCAACUUCACAGCCUCAGAGAAUACCAGUCGAGUCAUGCAGCAUCAAUAUCAGGUCAGCAACCUGGGGCAAAGGACCCUUCCCAUCAGCCUGGUGUUCCUGGUGCCCGUCCGGCUGAACCAGGCGAUCAUAUGGGACCGUCCCCAGGUCACCUUCUCCGAGAACCUCUCGAGUACGUGCCACACCAAGGAGAGCUUGCCCCCUCACUCCGACUUUCUGGCUGAGCUUCGGAAGGCCCCCGUGGUGGUGAGAAGCUAAGUCAGCCCCAGGGCCACGUGGAGACGCAGCGCGGUUCCCUGCUGGAGCCUAUCUGGUCUCUGAACAACGGGGAGGGGUCUUCUCUGCCUUCAGCUUCGUUACCAUCCCCUCCCCUCCUGCGUUCCGCAGAACUGCUCCAUCGCUGUCUGCCAGAGAAUCCAGUGUGACAUCCCGUUCUUUGGCAUCCAGGAAAAAUUCAAUGCCACCCUC